rnacentral:rRNA from 1 species
AUUGAACGCUGGCGGCAUGCUUUACACAUGCAAGUCGAACGGUAACAGGGAGCUCGCUCCGCUGACAAGUGGCGAACGGGUGAGUAAUGCGUCGGAACGUGCCGAGUAGUGGGGGAUAACGCAGCGAAAGUUGUGCUAAUACCGCAUACGUACUGAGGUAGAAAGUGGGGGACCUUCGGGCCUCACGCUAUUCGAGCGGCCGACGUCUGAUUAGCUAGUAGGUGAGGUAAAGGCUCACCUAGGCGACGAUCAGUAGCGGGUCUGAGAGGAUGGUCCGCCAACCUGGGACUGAGACACGGUCCAGACUCCUACGGGAGGCAGCAGUGGGGAAUUUUGGACAAUGGGCGAAAGCCUGAUCCAGCCAUGCCGCGCGUCUGAAGAAGGCCUUCGGGUUGUAAAGGACUUUUGUCGGGGAGGAAAUCCCCAGCGCUAAUACCGCUGGGGGAUGACAGUACCUGAAGAAUAAGCACCGGCUAACUACGUGCCAGCAGCCGCCGUAAAAC